rnacentral:tRNA from 1 species
UAGAUUGAAGCCAGAGUUAGGGUAUUUAGCUGUUAACUAAAAUUUCGUAGGUUGUAGUCCUACCAGUCUAG